rnacentral:lncRNA from 1 species
AUUCUUAUUAACAAAGAUUAAUUAGUAUAGUUUGGUAGUAUUUUAAUUUUAAUUUUUGUUCAAUGAUAAAAAAUUGAAUUUGGGCCAAUUGGGAGCUCAUUUUUAGAUUUUAGUGGCCCAACAAAAUAAAUGCUCAUUCUUCCUAAUCUCUUUUAGCCCAAACCCUUUUCUCACCCAUCAAUACCCUUCCCUUAAUUAUAGCCAUUGAUCUACUUUGAUCUAAUGGACCAUGUUAAUUCUCCUAACCACAUAAAAUUUUAACCUACCUUAAACCCUAGAAUCUUCCAACCUAAAAAAUGCUGCUAGCCGCCUCACCCCCGCUUUUCACCCUAGGAAAAACCGGCCACCCCCAUCAACAAGCUAAGAACCGCCUUUGACCACGCGUGCCACCACCAUCUCGCCAAAAAUUCGACCACCUCCCAUCACCAGAACACCAACCAGCAACUCCACCCCCACCAAAUCUCCAAACCAUCAGCCGCACACAUCUCAAAAGGAAAAGGGAGCCGCCCAUCAUCAAAGAGAGAGCAGAGCAGCCGCGACCCUCAACGAAUUCCAGCAGCGGCUCUAUCUAAUUUCUUUGGAAACAGCUGAUGCCCAACCUUAUUCAGCCCCUGACCAUCUACAGACCCACUAGAGAAAAUGAUAGCUUGUUUGAUUCCAACUUGUUGGAACGAAUCAAGUAAAAACUAUAAGCUUCUGCUGGAUUUUGUCGACCAUUUCUGUCGCUCCUAACACAUAAGAAAUACCAGAUUUGGUUAGGAUUCUUCAUAUAUAUAAUUUACUUACAAGAAACACUCAAAUUUUCGGUUUCUUUUCCCUUAAUCUUGCUGAGAUUCACGGCGAUUUAGCUACCCUUUUUCGUCAACUAACACCCACGGUUACAGUUAAGUUCUCCAAUUAUCACUUAAUAGUCGCCGAAGCUUGUGGUUGUAGGCAUAUAGUUAACUGAAUCCGAUCAAAAUUUGGUGUUUAUCUGAGUCUCAAACCGGCCAAGCUAACGGAAGCUACCUCGAGGUGCAAAUAAUUUCUUACAUCAAGUGAUGGAAUACUAUCAGUCCUUUCUCCAAUUAAGCUUUAGUUUUGGACAAGCUUUCCAGUGCCGAUUCGAGUUUUCGUCUGCGGUCCAUUACAUUUUCGAAAUCAAAGCGGUGAAAUAAUCAAUUUCCAGCUAUAUAAAGGUCUAUUUCUUAUACCAAUUUUAUUUCAUCUCAUUAUACUAGUUGAAGAAUUAUGUUAAUUGUUUGUGGCUCUUCUACCCUUUGUUUACCUUGAUUACAUGAUAAACUUGGAUGACUAUUCUGAGACAUUAGGUGGAUAAUUAAAAUGAAAAAAAAUGGAUAUUGUUCACUGUUGAAAGAUUUAGCGGGUCAUUGGGGUGAAAAUUUAAAUGAAAUGAACCAAAUUAACUGAAAGACAAAGAACAAUUGAUGGCCUCGUUGCUGUUGUUUCACUGCCUUCAAAUUUAUUUUAUUUAAUUAAGAAUCGCUAGUAGCAUGUUUAGGACGAUCACACCCGGAUAGGCAAACUUUAGGCUUCUUCUUUUUCUUCCCUUUUAUUUGAGGUGAGAGGUCGCCUCCCCCCUCCCCAUAGUUAAGUAAUUGUUCUGGGGAAUGCCCUGAAGAAUUUAUAAAUAUUUUGGAGGUCUUGACGAGUGUUGUGAAGAAGCCAUAGUGUAAUACCCCAUAUUUGAUGGGUGCAUAGGCAUGAGUUGCUAUGGCCAGUCGAGACUAAUAUCAUAUGUUGACGUGAAAAUCGGACCUUCUAGAAAUGAUUGAAGUGUAAGAAAUUUGGUCUUCAAGUUUACAAAUAUGGAUAAAGGAAAUAAUCUCAAUUGAAAUGAUAUUGUCAGACUUAUGUUGAAUGUGGUAAUGUGGGAUCAAUCGCGAAUAUUUGUGUAAAAGUAAAAUCGUUAAUUUGGCAACCUGAGAAUAAUUCUUAGUACGUUCGAGGACGAACGUUUGUUUUAGAGGUGGAGAAUGUAAUGACCCAAAAUGUCAUCUUUAAAUUAAAUAAUUAUCUCAAUAUUUUAAGACCUUGAAAAACGGAAUCAAUAAUUCCUCAACUUGCGUGCGCAGUUCAUAUAAUUUUUCGGAAGGUGUUUAUGUGAAAAAUGGAUUAAAUUGUGUAUUAGAGCUUUAAAACACAACUGAGUUGACUUCGGUCAAUAUUUUGAGCAAACGAACCCGGAUCCAAGUUUUGACCAUUUCGGUAGUUCUAUAUCGUGAUUUGGGACUUGAUCAUAUGCCUGAAAUCGAAUUCGGAGGUCCCUAGCUCAAAUUAUCGCCAUUUAGCGGAAUCUAGAAAUCUAAGGCUAAAGAUUUUUUAAAUUUGACCAGAAAAUUGACUUUUGAGCAAACGACCCCGGAAUAGAAUUUUGAUGAUUCUAGUAGUUUUGUAUGGUGUUUUGGACUUAGGGGAAUAUUGGGAUUUGGAUUUGGAAGUCCGUAGGACAAUUUGACGCAUUUUGGCGAAAGUUGGAAAAUAGAAGAUUUUUGGAUAUCGGGCUCGGAAUUCAAUUAUGAAAAUUAGAACAGAUCAAUUAUGUCAUUUAAGACUUGUGUGCAAAAUUUGAAGUCAUUCCGGAUUGAUUUGAUAUGUUUCGGCGCAAAAAAGUAGAAGUUGGAAGAUUUGAAAACUCAUAAUUCAAUUCAAUGCGCGAUUCGUAAUUUCGGCAUUGUUUGACGUGGUUUGAAGCCUCGAUUAAGUUCAUAUUGUAUUUUGGGCCAUGUUGGUAUAACUGAUUAAGGUUCUGAGAUCCUCGGGUGGAUUUAAAAAGGUUAACGGGAUGGAUUUCGGACAAAAAAAACAAGUUGCUGAAAUUUUCUGCUGCAGAAGCUUUGGACAACACUGUGCAAUCGUGGAGCCUACUUCAGAAGCUUAUAUCUCGAAAUCUGUAAGGAAUAUAAAAAUUUAUAAAACAAGAAAAGUGUAGCCCUUGCAUCCUAGUUUCCGGAAAGUUAAAUUAUUAAUCAUUUGGACAUUUAUAGAGAAAGUUAUGAUCGAUUUACUGAAGGCUGGUCAAGUUGUUUUGAAAAAUUUCCAGAAAUUUCUGAUGCGAGUAGGAUACUUUGGGAGCUUAUAUCUCUCUAUCUAUAAGGAACUGGAUGAUGAGAAACACAUCAAAAUUGUAGCUCUUGGUGUCUAAUUUCCAGAAAGUUAAACCGUUCAUCAUUUGGAUAUUUGUACAGAAAGUUAUGAUCGAUUCACUGAAGGCUGGUAAUGUUGUUUUUUUCUGGGGCAGAUGCGACAUGCGAUUUAUAAGUCUCAAUUGCCAAAUGCAACUUGCCUGGACAGAUUGUUAGCAAGAGUUAACCAUUUUUACUUAUUUUUGAGUUUUGAGUUUUGAGUUUUGAGUCUCAGAUUUAGGCGAUUUCAAAGGGUUUUCACGACUUCGACUUGGGUUAGUGUUCUAUAUCCGAAAAUAAUUAUAUUUCAUAAAUCCAUGUCCACAUUCAUCAAUUAUUUCAGAUUUAGGUGUAAGAAAUUGGGAUUUUUGUAAAAUCUUCAAAACUAAAUUUUCAAGAUUUGAACAUCGAUUCGGAGUCGGAUUUGAGUAAAAUUAGUAUGGUUAGACUCGUAAUUGAAUGGGUUAUGGUAUUUUGUGAGUUUUGUCGUUUUCCGAGACGUGGGCCCCAUGAGCAAUAUUUUGGGUUAAUUUUGGAUUUUAUUGGAAAAUUAGUAUUUUCAUAUGGAAUUAAUUCAUAUAAUUAGUAUUGACUAAAUCGAAUUAAUUGUGGCUAGAUUCGGAUCGAUUGGAGGCCGAUUCGAGGGGAAAAGGCAUUUCGAUGUAGGAUUUUGCUCGGAUUGAGGUAAGUAAUGAUUGUAAAUGUUGUCCUAAGGGUAUGAAACCCCGGAUUUCACACCGCUGUACUACUUUGAGGUGACACACACGGUAGAUGACGAGCGUGGGGUCGUGUACCGUUGGAGAUUGUGACUUAGUCCAUCCCGUAUGACUGUUAAACCACGUAUUUGAUUGAAAACUGUUUGAUAUCAUUGUGUUUUGGAAAAUAUUAUCAUGUUUUGGGCUGAAUGCCAUACUUGGGCCUUGUGCCAACUAUUUUGGACCCUUAAGUGAUUUUACUACUAUUCCUCACUGUUUUGUCUUCAUAUUUGUAUUCAGUCAUGCUGUAUUCUAUUGUUUUUAUAACUCAGCCAUAUUUACUCCAUUUUGAUAUUUUAAAUAAUAUUUUGGGCUGAGCAUUAUGUUUUAUUGUUGCCCGAGUGGCAUGAGAGAUUUUUGACUGAGUGAGGCCGAGGUCCUGUAUUGUGAGAAUACUAUAGGAUCGGGCUGCGCACCGCAACAGUGUUAUACUGAUUCAUGAUUUUGAGGUCGAGGGCCUGAUUUGUUAUGCCACGAGGUGGCUUGUUCAUAUGAGGUCGAGAGCCUAUUUGAUUAUGCCACGAGAUAGCUUGUUAUUGCGCUUGGGCCGUAAGGGGCCCCUCCAAGAAUCUAGACUACCCCAAUAAGCGUGGGUACCGAGUGUAAGUGAUAUGAAGUAGCCAGAGGGGCUGUUGUUGUUUCAUAUUGUUGCCCGAUGGGCUGUUCUUGAUCCAUGUUUUGCCCGAGUGGCAGUUAUUGAUUCAUGUUAUGCCCGAUGGGCUGAUUACGAGUUAUUGAGAGGUAGCCCGAGGGGCGGUUUAUGGUACAUGUUUUGCCCGAGGGGUUGUUUACAUUUCUAUCAUUUUUACUUACUAUUUUAUCACUCGUUUGAAACUAUUGAAAAAGUUUUAAAAGGUUUUACUGAAACUGAGCUUGAUUUACGAAGUAAAUGGUUUCUGUACUAUUUUUUGAGAAAUAUACGGUAUUUGUUGUAGUGCUAUGAUGUGAAAUUAUGUGUUUUCUUACUGCUCAGCUUUCAUUUACUUUUAUUACUUACUGAGUUGGCGUACUCACAUUACUCCCUGCACCUUGUGUGCAGAUUCAGGUAUUUUUGAAUCCGGUAGCGGGUGUUGAUUGCUCAGUGACAGAGUCAUCGGAGUUAGCAAGGUAGUUGCCCGACGUUCGUAGCCCUGCUCUUCUCCCUCUUGUCUUCCUUAGAAUAUUUUUAGUUUAUUUUCAGACUCUUCAUUGUAUUCAGACCUUAGUAGAUGCUCGUGACUUGUGACACCCCGAUGUUGGGCUUGUAUAUUUGUUCUACACUGGUUAUUUAGACAUAUACUAUAAGAUUUCUUGUUAAUUAAUGGC